GAAGAUAUAAUGUCGCUUGACAUUAGCCGUGAAUCAGAUGCUUCAAAUUCCGUAAACAAUCCUAAGGUAUCCACUCCAAAUGCUUCAAGUAGUGUUGAUUGUUAAAAAUCAAAGAACAUCUCAAGGUUUGAUUGUUUGGAAUUGAAGAUCUUGAGAAAGAAAGGCAUAUGGGAACUUGAAUGUUGAAACUAUUUGGAUGUUAUGAUUAGACUUUUAUGGAUUUCGUUUUAAGUUUGUUAA